GGAUUCGAGGAAUCCAACAAUCUAAUUUAAACAAAACAUUGCGAUGUGAUUAAUGCCCAGUGCUCUGAAUGUCAAAGUGAAGAAAUUCAACCAUGCGCAGGUAAAUGGCGGGAGUAACAAUGACUCUGGGUGCGGUUCACCGCAAUACACGGAAGCGGCUUGAUACGCAAGGUAGGCAAAUUUGCACCGUUGGUUGAGGCUCCCUGCAGAUACGCCGAUAGCUUAUCUUCAUGCGCCUGUGAAUGAUGGUGGGCU
rnacentral:ncRNA from 1 species